UACGUAGGGUGCGAGCGUUGUCCGGAAUCAUUGGGCGUAAAGAGCGUGUAGGCGGUUCAGUAAGUCUGCUGUGAAAGUCCAGGGCUCAACCCUGGGAUGCCGGUGGAUACUGCUGGGCUAGAGUACGGAAGAGGCGAGUGGAAUUCCCGGUGUAGCGGUGAAAUGCGCAGAUAUCAGGAGGAACACCAAUGGCGAAGGCAGCUCGCUGGAACGGUACUGACGCUGAGGCGCGAAAGCGUGGGGAGCGAACAGG
rnacentral:rRNA from 1 species